rnacentral:lncRNA from 1 species
ACCUGAUAAGUGGAAAAUCAUAAGUGAACAAAACAUGCAUGAAUGUUAGUUCCUAUAUCUAUCCACUAAUUAUAUACUUCAAUGGUCAUGUUCACUUCAAAAGUGAAAAGAAUAAACCUAAAAACAGUCUCAGAAAAGUUGGCCCUAGAGGUCAAUAUGUUAACUUGAGGAUGACGAGAGAUCGAACCAUUCUUCUUAGGUGUAGGAGGAGC